GCUGGGCAUGGUGGCACAUGCCUGUAAUCCCAGCUACUUGGGAGACUGAUGCAGGAGAAUCACAAGUUUGAGGGCAACCUGACAACUUAGUGAGACCCUGUCUCAA
rnacentral:sRNA from 1 species